rnacentral:lncRNA from 1 species
UUUUGCAAUUUUAAAAAGUUGAUUAUACUUUCUACUAUUUGCGGUUUGACUUGUAACUUUCUAUAUUUGCAUUUUGGCCCCACCUCUCUAAGAGGUCUAAAUACUUUGAUUUUUUUCUUUUUUGUAGUUUAAACUCAUCAUACAAUUAUGCCCAUAUGUAUUAAAUCUAAUUGACUAUGUUGCAUUCCAAUUAAUUUAUUCAAUGUGAUUAAGUAGUUAGAAAAUGGUCGACUAUGGACUUGUGCCUUAAACAAUAAUUGAGCUAUGAGAAAGGCUGCUAAAUUCAAAUUGUUUGAACCUUGGGAAUGUGUUUUAAUUGCUAUUUCAAUUGGACCUCAACACAUUAGACGUUAAUCUUUCUCCCCCUCUUAGUAUAUGUAAUUUGUAGGAAUUUGUACAAAUCGGUUUGUAAUUCUUAUUACUUCUUUAUCUCUUUCAAUUAGUUGAUUCCCUCUAGUACUAGACUAGAGUUUCUUUAACUAUUGGUAAGGAGACAUAUUAAAGGGGGUUUUCAUGAGAUUAAAGAUUUGUUGGGUCCAACGCCCUAAUUAGCAAUGAAUGAUUGUCUUUCGUUUCUAAUGGCUCAAUGAAAAAAUGUUUUAAUUGGAUUGAAAGUGCGUAAUUAAAACGAAACAUUCUUCCCUAGAUCUUAUUCAACAAUGUUGGCUCGUUGUUGAAUCAACCUAAAAGGUCCAUAGUCAUCCAAAGAGCCUAAGAUAACUAUAAAGUCCAAAUUUAAAGGAAUGCAAAACCUUAUUAGUAGUAGUUACUUCCAAUAUUUGAAAAAUUUGUUUUUGAUAUUGAUUUGUUUUUCUCAAAACAAAUAGUGGGGGUAUCAUACGCUACUAAACUAAAAUGAACACAAUUAGUAGUAAUAUAUAUCUCCAAUAUUUUGAAAAAGUGUUUUGAUAUUGAUUUGUUUUGCGAAAACGAAUAGUGGAGAUAUCAUAUGCUACUAAUUUUAUUUACUUUGGACUAGUAGUCGUAAUAGGACACAAUUUAUUAUAAUGUGAUUAAAUAAAUAAUAUGAUGAGACCUUAAAAUCCCUCAACCAAGAUCCAAUAUUAUGUUGAAAGCGGAGAGGUGCUUUGAACACUUCUUCGUGGCCUUCCACCAUGGUAGGCUCCAAUCGUUUAUGACUCAUACACCGCCUUCACCCUAUCAUGGGGGAGUUCAAAGUAUGUACUUAUACUCAGGAGGAUUCUAUUUCAAACAUUGAUGUGGUGAAGGUAGGCAACGAGUAUGGCCGACAUUUUAUCAUCGUGAGGUCAUACUUGGACCCCUAUCUAAAACGGCAUGGUGGGUCAAAAACUUAACUAAGAGAAAUGGUGCCAACAUCAUAUCAUUAUGAAGUAUUGUUCUCUAGAGGCCAAAUAGAUGGGUAAUCACAAGAGGUUGUUGUGAAUGGGUAAUUCUACCCUCUCAUUAUUAUUUUUGCUAGCCAACAUCGUAUCAUCAUGAGGUGGGCUUGGUAAUAGUGAGCCUCCCAUAACCCGCUAGGAGCUUUCAUUGAAAUCUCCCGGAUUCCAUCUUGAGGGAUAUGGAAUUUUGCCAAAAAUAGUGGGUGAUGUCAUUCGGUUUAAAGACUCGAAUCGUUUGACUUAAUCAACAAUCAAACUAAUUUAUCUUAUUGUUAUGUAUUUAGAUAUGGUUGGAAGUACACUUGCAAAGAUACUCGACAAGCAUUGCCUUGAGGGGCACAAUUUCCCAUCUUAGUACCGUAAUGUCAAGAUUCUCCUAACCUUGGAGAAAAUUGUUAUCACUUACUUAACCACCAUAACCAAGACCACUCUUGGUUCAAUUAGUAGUUUUGAACAACUAAUUGGACAUUCUUAAAUUGUUUUAAGAAAUGUCAAAUGUGUUAGUGAUCAAACCAAUGAUGAAGUAGGUUUAAAGACUUUAGUCACUUAAUAACAAGACAUCAAUUUAGUGGAGUUGGAAUAAUAAGCUUAAAAGGUUUUAAACUACUCCACAAUGUCCUCUACCCGUAUACUUCAUGAUUAUACACUUUGAAUGUAUAAUGCGAUUUUCUCACUAAGGUCAUGAGAAAUAGUGGGAGGUGAGAAAUGUUGGAAAUGUGCCUUAAAAUCAAUCAUAUGAUGAUACUU